UUAUUUUUCUAUUAUUGCUUAUUUCCCAUUUUCUGGUUGAAGAAGCAGAGGAGGAAGAGGAAGAAGCAGAAUCGAAUGGGCAACGCACAAUCGCCUCCCGCUGACCCUCGCUUCGCCAUGGCCAGCAGGGCAUUCUCGAAGCAGGAGCUGGACGAUCUGAAAGCUCUCUUCGAUUCCCUCGCCGCUCAAUCGCAAAGCAACGCCAAGUUCAUCUCUUCCUCCGUUUUCCAAGGGUAUUUUGGGAUUAAAGGCGUGCUUGGUGUUAGGAUGUUUGAUUUGUUCACUCAGAA